rnacentral:lncRNA from 1 species
GGCUUUGGACUGCGGAGCACGCCGGGAGUCGUAGUCCCCAGGCCUGCUCGGGCCCACCUCGUCGGAGACGAGCAGGAACCGCCUCCUCUUCUUUGCAUAUCGGCGAAGUGUAGUUCUCAAGAGCAUUGUGGGGCCGGUUGCUGCCCGAAUCUCUCUAGGGAAUGGGACCGAGUUGGGGACCCAGACUCCCUGGCCUUCAUGGCCACAGUCCUGUCGCCGCCCCACCAAAAGCCAAUCUCUAAGAAUCUGGAACGAUGAAGGUGAUGAUUGUGCCUGUGGCCAAGACCGGGAGAACCCUGGAUCCCUACACCUUCCCCACCCCUGGAAUGUCACUAUACAUAUCUGACUUCUUCUGAUGUUGCCUUUGACCCUAAAGUCAAUAUGAUAAAGUAACAAGAAGCUGGGACAGAGGAACAAACACAGCCCACUCAAGCAGUGGUGGCAACAUUCUGUUAGAAAGGAGGGGAGUCAAAGAAAAAAACACCCCUCCGCCCAUCUCCUUAUCACCUCCCUAAAGACAGAGGAGAACAUGGACACCCUCCAUCCUGAUAGACAUGCCAUGUGGUCAGUUUGUG